GUAAUCACAUCUAAAGACUAGACUUCGCCAUGACCAGGCCAUAGUAAACAUCAUAGUAUGUCUAGUCUUUAGGUUUGAUUAC
ensembl:miRNA